rnacentral:lncRNA from 1 species
AAAAAACUUAUCUUUUGAUUGAUUCAUCAUUUCAAAUGUACUUAAAUUGUACCGUCUAAAUGGAUGAUGAACACACUUACAAUGAUGGGCGUGAUUUACACAUAGAUAUGAAUGAUGUUAAAUGAUUGUCAAACGCCUACAAAUAUUUUUAAAGGAAAUAGAAACGAAGUGAAUCAGUUCAAUAAUGCAUAACUAUAUUUAAAGAUAUUUAAGUAGCGGAAUGAAUAUCAAAUUAACGAGUUUCCCAGGGUCUAGAUGGGGAUUCUUCAUUUCUAUAUUCU